GAUAAACGCUGGCGGCGUGCAUGAUACAUGCAAGUCGAACGAAGGAUCGGGCUUGCUCGAUCCUUAGUGGCGGACGGCUGAGUAACGCGUAGGUGACCUACCCCGAAGUGGGGAAUAACUGCCCGAAAGGGUGGCUAAUACCGCAUGUGGUCGCACGUUCAUUCGUGCGAGUAAAGCCGCAAGGCGCUUCGGGAGGGGCCUGCGUCCGAUUAGCUCGUUGGUGGGGUAAUGGCUUACCAAGGCGACGAUCGGUAGGUGGUCUGAGAGGACGAUCACCCAGACUGGGACUGAGACACGGCCCAGACUCCUACGGGAGGCAGCAGUCGGGAAUGUUGCUCAAUGGGGGAAACCCUGAAGCAGCAACGCCGCGUGAGGGAUGAAGGCCUUCGGGUUGUAAACCUCUUUUGUCAGGGACGAUGAUGACGGUACCUGGCGAAUAAGCCACGGCUAACUACGUG
rnacentral:rRNA from 1 species